GGAGGUGAGGGCUCUCUGUGUGUGACAUCUGUCAUACCAUUGAUAACCAGGGUUGAUUCAAGUAAUCUGAAUGGCUAGGUGGGUGUCCCCUUCCUUUCUCACCAUUUCUUGGGCAUCCUUCCCAAAGUUGUGUGCUCAAAGAGGAUGACCUUCCCUGGUAGAGAAGGACAUUAUUAGGUCAAGGGUAUAUGAGUAGUUUUGCUCCCCUUCUAGAACUUCUAAACAACUCUCAAGAUAAUGCAUUUUCUCAAUAUUCUUUACUAAAAUACAUUAAUAUACAUUUUGCAUAUUAAUUAUAU
ensembl:misc_RNA 7SK 7SK RNA